rnacentral:lncRNA from 1 species
CCGAGAUGUAAAUUUUAUAUAAUAAAAUGCGAAUUUUCUCUUUUUGACUUGAAGCCUUGUCUGUUACUUUCUUCAGGAAUGUCAUCACAAAUAGAUUUGUCUGGGAGCUUGAUGAGUAAGAAAAGCUAUCUGAAAGUAGGCAAGGUUCCAUUUGCAUUUCACUUGUCUCCAUGAAUGUGUGCAAAUUCUUCAACCUCUUCCUUCCCAAGAGGAAAUUCAGACUUUUUAAAGAUAAGCAUCUGAUUAUCUAUUUUCUUUAAAAAUAGCAUUUUAGAUAUUUCCUGUCCUUAAGAUGUUGCUGUUGAGCAGAUAACAACUUGAACCGUGCUAUGUUAGAACGGAUGCUGAAAACUAAAUGAGCAAGGUUAGUGCUGACAUCUACUGUUAGAACUUGAGGAUGUGCUACUUUGUCACAAGCAGUUCCCUCCUAAGGAGACGGGAGUUGUGUAGCACUAGUUGCGGGUGCAGGGGGUCAGAGUGACUGGAGGAGAGAAUCACCCAAAGCUCCAUCAUCCUGAAGAAGGGCGCAAGGGAAUGACUUCGCGCUUCUUGAGAUAAACAUGUUGAAGAAUCUGGAGCAGAAGAUAAAUUAAUGUCAAGAGGGUGCUUCCCAGGCCUCCAUCUCCUGUUUUGACUGUUUGGGCUCCAACUUCCAGGAUUUUAAGCAGGUUCCCUCGAGGCCUUACUGUGAAAAGAGAUCCCAACAGGACAGCGUGCACCCGUGUUGCGGGUGUACAGAAAAGGAGCACAGAAUUGUUUGGCCAUCUGCAGUGGGCUCCUUCCUGGUGAGGGAUGGGGAAAGGAAGAGGAGCGAUGCCAAUGACAUUAGAAGAGAAGGAAAUGGAGGCUCAGAAUGCUGAUCUGAGUUGCCUGAGAUCCCACUGCUAGAAAUUGCAGCGAGAGACUGGAACGCUGGUCCCCUCUGGUUCCAAGUCCAGAUAGAAAUGAUUGAAGUUGUGGUAAACGUAAACAAGACAGAGCCAGCAGAUAAGCAGCGGCACCCCAACAGAAGUAAGGAGUGGAGUGACAUCUGGAGGAGACAGGAAGAAAGGAGUGUGAAAGAGUUGGGAGUUUAAAAAUACUGGAAGAUUAGCCCUGAGCUAACAUCUGCUGCCAAUCCUCCUCUUUUUGCUGAGGAAGACUAGCCCUGAGCUAACAUCCAUGCCCAUCUUUCUCUAUUUUAUGUGAGAUGCCUGCCACAGCAUGGCUUGCCAAGUGGUGCACAAGUCUGCACCUGGGAUCCAAACCAGUGAACCCCAGACCGCUGAAGCAGAACGUGCGAAGUUAACCGCCGUGCCCCCAGGCUGGCCCCACAUUAAUACUUUUUAAAAGCAUCAUUUUAAUAACUACAUAAUAUGUUUUAAUGGACGUACCACAAUUUAUUUACUAUAGUACAUUUAAGGUAACACAGUUAAGAUAAAUAACACUAAUAAACAUCACCAUCCAUAUAUUUUUC